GCCUGGGUGGCUCAGUCGGUUAAGCGUCCGACUUUGGCUCAGGUCACGAUCUUGGAGUUUGUAGGUUUGAGUCCCACAUCAGGCU
rnacentral:tRNA from 1 species